rnacentral:rRNA from 1 species
CAGAGGGGGCAAGCGUUGUUCGGAAUUACUGGGCGUAAAGGGCGCGUAGGCGGCCUGCUAAGUCGAACGUGAAAUCCCUGGGCUCAACCCAGGAACUGCGUCCGAUACUGGUUGGCUUGAAUCCGGGAGAGGGAUGCGGAAUUCCAGGUGUAGCGGUGAAAUGCGUAGAUAUCUGGAGGAACACCGGUGGCGAAGGCGGCAUCCUGGACCGGCAUUGACGCUGAGGCGCGAAAGCCAGGGGAGCAAACGGGAUUAGAUACCCCGGUAGUCCUGGCCCUAAACGAUGAAUGCUUGGUGUGGCGGGUAUCGAUCCCUGCCGUGCCGAAGCUAACGCAUUAAGCAUUCCGCCUGGGGAGUACGGCCGCAAGGCUG